CAGCCAUUUUGUGAGUUGGAUGGUGUAAGGCGAAGGAAGUGUUAUGAGGAUUUUGUUGAAAUUACACGGUUAUGCAUCAGCACAUGAAUUUUGUAUGUGCUUCACCCCUUCACCCUGUUCCAUCAGAGCGAAAUGGCCACUGCAGAUCUUUCCUUAGCUUGCAGAAUAGUAGAGCAUCCAGGAGCUGUGGAAGAUGUGAUAAAGAGAGGACACAGGUGCCUCCACCCAGAGCAGCCUUGACUCAACACAGCGUCAGA